rnacentral:rRNA from 1 species
UACGUAGGUGGCAAGCGUUGUCCGGAUUUACUGGGCGUAAAGAGCGCGCAGGCGGUCGUUCAAGUCGCGUGUGAAAGCCCCCGGCUCAACUGGGGAGGGUCACGCGAUACUGAUCGACUCGAAGGCAGGAGAGGGUAGUGGAAUUCCCGGUGUAGUGGUGAAAUGCGUAGAUAUCGAGAGGAACACCGGUGGCGAAGGCGGCUAUCUGGACGAUGACUGACGCUGAGACGCGAAAGCGUGGGGAGCAAACAGG